rnacentral:rRNA from 1 species
GACAGAGGGUGCUAGCGUUGUUCGGAAUUACUGGGCGUAAAGGGCGCGUAGGCGGCCCGCUAAGUCGAACGUGAAAUCCCUGGGCUCAACCCAGGAACUGCGUCCGAUACUGGCGGGCUUGAAUCCGGGAGAGGGAUGUGGAAUUCCAGGUGUAGCGGUGAAAUGCGUAGAUAUCUGGAGGAACACCGGUGGCGAAGGCGGCAUCCUGGACCGGUAUUGACGCUGAUGCGCGAAAGCCAGGGGAGCAAACGGG